UAAGGUAGCGAAAUUCCUUGUCGGGUAAGUUCCGACCUGCACGAAUGGUGUAACGAUCUGGGCACUGUCUCAGCCAUGAGCUCGGUGAAAUUGUAGUAUCGGUGAAGAUGCCGAUUACCCGCAACGGGACGAAAAGACCCCGUGAACCUUUACUGUAACUUGGCAUUGGGUUUCGAUUAACGAUGCGUAGGAUAGGUGGGAGAUUUUGAUCCGUGCGUUCUGGCGUACGGGGAGUCAUCCUUGAAAUACCACCCUUGGCCGUUUAGAUGUCUAACCUGCGUCGGAUAGCCCGGCGGGGGACAGUGUCUGGUGGGUAGUUUGACUGGGGCGGUCGCCUCCCAAAAAGUAACGGAGGCGCGCGAUGGUUCCCUCAGCCUGAUUGGAAACCAGGCGUAGAGCGCAAAAGCAGAAGGGAGCUUGACUGCGAGACCGACGGGUCGAGCAGGUACGAAAGUAGGCUUUAGUGAUCCGGUGGUUCUGCGUGGAAGGGCCAUCGCUCAACGGAUAAAAGGUACUCCGGGGAUAACAGGCUUAUCUCCCCCAAGAGUUCACAUCGACGGGGAGGUUUG
rnacentral:rRNA from 1 species